rnacentral:tRNA from 3 species
GGGGCCGUAGGGUAGCUUGGCCCAUCCUGCGGGCUUCGGGAGCCCGUGACCCGGGUUCAAAUCCCGGCGGCCCCACCA